UACGUAGGUGGCAAGCGUUGUCCGGAUUUAUUGGGUUUAAAGGGUGCGUAGGCGGUUCCAUAAGUCAGGGGUGAAAUACGGCAGCUCAACUGUCGAGGUGCCAUUGAUACUGCGGAACUUGAGUACUGAUGAGGUAGGCGGAAUUGACGGUGUAGCGGUGAAAUGCUUAGAUAUCGUCAAGAACACCGAUAGCGAAGGCAGCUUACCAAGCAGUAACUGACGCUGAGGCACGAAAGUGCGGGGAUCAAACAGG
rnacentral:rRNA from 1 species